rnacentral:rRNA from 1 species
AUACGGAGGGCGCAAGCGUUGUUCGGAAUCAUUGGGCGUAAAGCGCGUGUAGGCGGCUUGGCAAGUCGGGUGUGAAAUCCCGGGGCUCAACCCCGGAACUGCACUCGAAACUGCCUCGCUAGAGUCCCGGAGAGGAGGGCGGAAUUCCCGGUGUAGAGGUGAAAUUCGUAGAUAUCGGGAGGAACACCAGCGGCGAAGGCGGCCCUCUGGACGGUGACUGACGCUCAGACGCGAAAGCGUGGGGAGCAAACAGGAUUAGAAACCCCGGUAGUCC